rnacentral:rRNA from 1 species
GAGCGGUAGAGAGAAGCUUGCUUCUCUUGAGAGCGGCGGACGGGUGAGUAAUGCCUAGAAUCUGCCUGGUAGUGGGGGAUAACGUUCGGAAACGGACGCUAAUACCGCAUACGUCCUACGUGGAGAAAGCAGGGGACCUUAGUGGCCUUGCGCUAUCAGAUGAGCCUAGGUCGGAUUAGCUAGUUGGUGAGGUAAUGGCUCACCAAGGCGACGAUCCGUAACUGGUCUGAGAGGAUGAUCAGUCACACUGGAACUGAGACACGGUCCAGACUCCUACGGGAGGCAGCAGUGGGGAAUAUUGGACAAUGGGCGAAAGCCUGAUCCAGCCAUGCCGCGUGUGUGAAUGAAGGUCUUCGGAUUGUAAAGCACUUUAAGUUGGGAGGAAGGGCAGUUACCUAAUACGUGAUUGUUUUGACGUUACCGACAGAAUAAGCACCGGCUAACUCUGUGCCAGCAGCCGCGGUAAUACAGAGGGUGCAAGCGUUAAUCGGAAUUACUGGGCGUAAAGCGCGCGUAGGUGGUUAGUUAAGUUGGAUGUGAAAUCCCCGGGCUCAACCUGGGAACUGCAUUCAAAACUGACUGACUAGAGUAUGGUAGAGGGCUGGCUGGCAAUUUCCUGUGUAGCGGUGAAAUGCGUACAUAUAGGAAGGAACACCAGUGNGCCAAGGCAGACCACCUGGACUA